UACGAAGGGGGCUAGCGUUGCUCGGAUUGACUGGGCGUAAAGGGCGCGUAGGCGGUUCGUACAGUCAGACGUGAAAUUCCUGGGCUCAACCUGGGGGCUGCGUUUGAUACGUGCGGACUUGAGUGCGGAAGAGGGUCGUGGAAUUCCCAGUGUAGAGGUGAAAUUCGUAGAUAUUGGGAAGAACACCGGUGGCGAAGGCGGGUCUCUGGGCAGUAACUGACGCUGAGGAGCGAAAGCGUGGGGAGCGAACAGG
rnacentral:rRNA from 1 species